rnacentral:rRNA from 1 species
ACUAGUGUAAACAGGGCCUUAAACUAAGCAGGGCUGCACCCAGUCAGUACCUGGAUGGGAGACCACAUGGGAAAACUAGGUUGCUGCCAGAA